rnacentral:lncRNA from 1 species
GUUCUCAGAGGGUGAGGGUCCCACAUCUCCUGCAGGACAGGCCCUAGCUACCGAGUCACAGAAACCCAGGGCCGAAGCAAAGUCCCAAUCCCAGAGAGGCUGGGGCAUACCUACAACUGAAAGGAGGCUUAGAAAUCCUUCAGAGACCACCCUAUCGGUUCUCCUCCACCUGGACAGGAUGAGCCAGCAACACAGAAGGAAGAGGCCUUCCUCCGAAAGGUAUAGAGGCCAGAAGAGGUCAUUGUCUCCAAAUAGCAAGCAAGACCUCUCCGAGGCUGACUUUGUGCAGUCUGUAGGUGUAUUCAUGCCGUGGCUCAAAUCUUUAAAUCCAACUUUAA